UACGUAGGGGGCAAGCGUUGUCCGGAUUUAUUGGGCGUAAAGCGCUCGCAGGUGGUUCGUUGCGUCGUGCGUGAAAGACCCCGGCUCAACUGGGGAGCGUCGUGCGAUACGGGCGGACUGGAGGCCAGUAGGGGGAUGCGGAAUUCCGGGUGUAGUGGUGGAAUGCGUAGAGAUCCGGAGGAACACCAGCGGCGAAGGCGGCAUCCUGGACUGGUCCUGACACUCAUGAGCGAAAGCGUGGGAGCGAUCCGG
rnacentral:rRNA from 1 species